AAUCCAGAGAAAACCCAAAUUUCCUGUGCAAUUUCCAUAACUCUCCUCCUUGUGUUGUAAAGACUGACCACAUUCCAGACUCUGGUCUCCUCGUUUCCUCUUUCUAUCUGCUUCUUGCAGAAAUGCACAGCAACUGAGAAGCAGAAGGCAGAGGAGAAGUUCAGAGAACUGCACCAAUUUCUGCUGAAUCAGAUAAAAGAGGUGGAGAAUGAGAUUGCAGGGAGAAGGGAUGAGCACUGGGCUAGACUCUCCAGGGAACUCUCCUCUCUUGAAAGGAUCAUCCAGGAGAUGGAAGAAAAGAGUCAGCAGCCAGAGAGUGAACUCCUGCAGGAUGUGAGAAGCACCUUGCAGAGGUGUGAGAGAACAGAGAGACCGGAGAAUCCACUGGCUUUUCCUCCAGAGCUGAAGGAGAAGGUCUCCAGACUCCAUGAUAUGAAUCUCCGUCUGGAGGAAGUCAUGAAGGAAU